AACGAACGCUGGCGGCAUGCCUAACACAUGCAAGUCGAACGAGACCUUCGGGUCUAGUGGCGCACGGGUGCGUAACGCGUGGGAACCUGCCCUUAGGUUCGGAAUAACUCCCCGACAGGGGUGCUAAUACCGGAUAAUGUCUUCGGACCAAAGAUUUAUCGCCUUUGGAUGGGCCCGCGUUGGAUUAGCUAGUUGGUAGGGUAAAAGCCUACCAAGGCGACGAUCCAUAGCUGGUCUGAGAGGAUGAUCAGCCACACUGGGACUGAGACACGGCCCAGACUCCUACGGGAGGCAGCAGUGGGGAAUAUUGGACAAUGGGCGAAAGCCUGAUCCAGCAAGGCCGCGUGAGUGAUGAAGGCCGUAGGGUUGUAAAGCUCUUUUACCCGGGAUGAUAAUGACAGUACCGGGAGAAUAAGCUCCGGCUAACUCCGUG
rnacentral:rRNA from 1 species